CUCAGUUUGAACAAUGAAAGUGAAUACCCUGCACUCAAACCCUCUCUCAAAUGGAUAAUUCUGGUGAUCCUCCUGACAGCCAUGCUUUAGAUUUUGACUCUAGAGAACCUCAGGCAAAUCGCACAUCACCGUGGCGGCGACUUUGCAUGCGGAUGUCAUCCAUAUCAACUUUCGAUGCCAGUUUCUGCGCCUACCAUGGUGACCACGGGGAAUCAGGGUUCCAUUCCGUACAGGGACCCUGAGAAAUGGCUACCACAUGCAAGGAAGGCAGCAAGCACAAAUGACCCACUCCCGACGCAGGAAGGUAGUGAAG